rnacentral:rRNA from 1 species
GAUUGAUACUAAGCCAUGCGAGUCAUUGUAGUAAUACAAGGCAGACGGCUCAGUAACGCGUAGUCAACCUAACCUAUGGACGGGAAUAACCUCGGGAAACUGAGUAUAAUGCCCGAUAGAACAUUAUGCCUGGAAUGGUUUAUGUUCCAAAUGAUUUAUCGCCGUAGGAUGGGACUGCGGCCUAUCAGUUUGUUGGUGAGGUAAUGGCCCACCAAGACUAUUACAGGUACGGGCUCUGAGAGGAGUAGCCCGGAGAUGGGUACUGAGACACGGACCCAGGCCCUAUGGGGCGCAGCAGGCGAGAAAACUUUGCAAUGUGCGAAAGCACGACAAGGUUAAUCCGAGUGGUUUCUGCUAAAGGAACCUUUUGACAGUCCUAGAAACACUGUUGAAUAAGGGGUGGGCAAGUUCUGGUGUCAGCCGCCGCGGUAAAACCAGCACCUCAAGUGGUCAGGAUGAUUAUUGGGCCUAAAGCAUCCGUAGCCGGCUCUGUAAGUUUUCGGUUAAAUCUGUACGCUCAACGUACAGGCUGCCGGGAAUACUGCAGAGCUAGGGAGUGGGAGAGGUAGACGGUACUCGGUAGGAAGGGGUAAAAUCCUUUGAUCUAUUGAUGACCACCUGUGGCGAAGGCGGUCUACCAGAACACGUCCGACGGUGAGGGAUGAAAGCUGGGGGAGCAAACCGGAAUUAGAUACCCGGGGUAGUCCCAGCUGUAAACCAUGCAAACUCAGUGAUGCAUUGGCUUUGUGGCCAAUGCAGUGCUGCAGGGGAAGCCGUUAAGUUUGCCGCCUGGGAAGUACGUACGC